GAUGAACGCUAGCGGGAGGCUUAACACAUGCAAGUCGUGGGGCAGCAUUAGGUAGCAAUACUUAGAUGGCGACCGGCGCACGGGUGAGUAACGCGUAUGCAACCUACCCAGUACAGGGGGAUAGCCCGGAGAAAUUCGGAUUAAUACCCCAUAAUGAUAUUAAGAGGCAUCUUUUAAUAUUUAAAUCUUCGGCGGUACUGGAUGGGCAUGCGUAAGAUUAGCUAGUUGGUAGGGUAACGGCCUACCAAGGAUCCGAUCUUUAGGGGUCCUGAGAGGGUGAUCCCCCACACUGGUACUGAGACACGGACCAGACUCCUACGGGAGGCAGCAGUGAGGAAUAUUGGUCAAUGGGCGCAAGCUUGAACCAGCCAUCCCGCGUGAAGGAAGAAGGCGCUAUGCGUUGUAAACUUCUUUUCCGGAGGAAUAAAAUCUUGUACGAGUACAGGACUGAAGGUACUCCGGGAAUAAGCAUCGGCUAACUCCGUGCCAGCCGCCGCCGUAAGAC
rnacentral:rRNA from 1 species